AGUCUUUAACAAUGAGGGCACUGGCUACAGUAACAGAGUUAAAUGGCACUUUUUGUUCCGAAGAACAACUGAAGUGUCACAGCCUGUACUUUGACUGAAUCCAAUGGUUGCCUAGAGGACAUUACUAAAGAGAAAAAAACCAAAACCAGUUUUGUGUUCAGACAGGACAAAAUAAUUUCUUCAGGGAAUAACUUGACCUGCAGAUGGUUCUCAAAUGUUCUGGACAAGAAAGUCACCUUACCUUUUUGUAUUGUUUCAGUAAGUAUUCUCACUGCUGCCUGUUGAAUAUGAAAUGAGGUAACACUGUCAUGAAAGGAACACCUUCCCAAUUUCAAUCUGUUAUGUCAAUCAUUAAUACACAUUUAAACAUUACAUAGUAACCCCAGGAGCUUUCAAAUUCCCAUUUCCCAUUCCCUGAUGCAAGCCUGUUUUAAUGCUGCAGUGGUCAGGAAAGAAGCAGUGUUGAAAAUCCUUGUUGGCUUUUCUUGGAAUGUAUUUCCUGCCUGCUUUUUUCCCUAACCAUUCCUGUGACAAAUCCAGUGUCUGAG